rnacentral:lncRNA from 1 species
AUGCCGGGCGGAGGAAAGGCAAGGAGAGUCCGGCCCGUUAGUCCCGGGGAGUCGGCAGCUCCCAAGCGCCAAGAACCCGGCAACAGAAGUACCAAGAGGAAGGGAAACCGGCCCGCGCUGACAUAUACGUUCAUUAAUGUCUUUUCCAGCCUCAGUCAAACUUUUUUUGGGGGGCGGAAGAGUUUACUGGGGCUAAGGAUAACUUGGAGCCUACCGCCCGGGAAGAUCCGGACGCAGACCGAAGGCGACCGACCAUUCGAAAGUGCAUCCAAUGGUUACCUUGUCCACGCUCUCCAGACCACGCUUUGGACUUUCUCACUUUUAUUUAAGAGUCCAUCCGGAGAAGGAGGGGAAAAAAUCCAGAGGAGAUCCGAAUCAGUUGGAAAGAAAAAAUUUCAAAAGGGUGUCCACAGCGACGAAAAAGCCCAGACUUUGCCGACCUUCAAACGACAACAAGGCUUUCAGGAGGGCGCGAGGAGACCGCUUCCCACCCAGAUCCGACCAGAAAACCGGCACCCUCGGCCACAUUCCCCCUCUUGCAGGCAGAGAGAACGCCACUCUACCACCGGAGGCCCCCUUCCUGGCGCUGGGCAAACACUCAGGCCCUUAAUGGCCACCGCAGGCCAGCCAGCGGCUCCCCUUUCUACACUCAGUCCUCCCCCCAGUACUUGA